UGCCAGCAGCCGCGGUAAUACGAAGGGUGCUAGCGUUGUUCGGAAUUACUGGGCGUAAAGAGCAUGUAGGCGGUCGUGUUAGUCGGAUGUGAAAGCCCCGGGCUCAACCCGGGAACUGCAUCCGAAACUGCACGACUAGAGUCCCGGAGGGGGUGGUGGAAUUCCUGGUGUAGAGGUGAAAUUCGUAGAUAUCAGGAGGAACACCUGUGGCGAAGGCGACCACCUGGACGGGCACUGACGCUGAGACGCGAAAGCGUGGGGAGCAAACAGGAUUAGAUA
rnacentral:rRNA from 1 species